CAGAGAGUAGUUUAAGUAAAAUAUUAGUUUUGGGGACUAGUGAUAGAGGGUUUCCUUUUUCUCUGA
rnacentral:tRNA from 1 species